rnacentral:misc_RNA from 1 species
GAUGAAGAACGUAGCGAAAUGCGAUAAGUAGUGUGAAUUGCAGAAUUCAGUGAAUCAUCGAAUCUUUGAACGCACAUUGCGCCCCUUGGUAUUCCAUGGGGCAUGCCUGUUCGAGCGUCAUUUGUACCUUCAAGCUUUGCUUGGUGUUGGGUGUUUGUCCCGAGAGACUCGCCUUAAAGUAAUUGGCAGCCAGUGUUUGGUUUUGAAGCGCAGCACAAGUCGCGAUUCAAGGCUACACGCCCGCUUCCACAAGCCUUUUUUCACUUUUGACCUCGGAUCAGGUAGGGAUACCCGCUGAACUUAAGCAUAUCAAUAAGCGGAGGA